UACAGAGGCCCCAAGCAUUAUCCGGAAUCACUGGGCGUAAAGGGUGUCAAGGCGGUCAUGUUAGUCGUUCGUUAAAUCUGGGGGCUCAACCUCCAGCCUGCGAGCGAAACGGCAUGACUUGAGGUCGGGAGAGGUAUGUGGAACUCAUGGUGUAGGGGUGAAAUCCGUUGAUAUCAUGGGGAACACCAAAGGCGAAGGCAGCAUACUGGCCCGAAUCUGACGCUCACACACGAAAGCCAGGGUAGCGAAUGGG
rnacentral:rRNA from 1 species